AGUGAACGCUGGCGGUAGGCCUAACACAUGCAAGUCGAACGGCAGCACAGUAAGAGCUUGCUCUUACGGGUGGCGAGUGGCGGACGGGUGAGGAAUACAUCGGAAUCUACUUUUUCGUGGGGGAUAACGUAGGGAAACUUACGCUAAUACCGCAUACGACCUACGGGUGAAAGCAGGGGAUCUUCGGACCUUGCGCGAUUGAAUGAGCCGAUGUCGGAUUAGCUAGUUGGCGGGGUAAAGGCCCACCAAGGCGACGAUCCGUAGCUGGUCUGAGAGGAUGAUCAGCCACACUGGCACUGAGACACGGUCCAGACUCCUACGGGAGGCAGCAGUGGGGAAUAUUGGACAAUGGGCGCAAGCCUGAUCCAGCCAUACCGCGUGGGUGAAGAAGGCCUUCGGGUUGUAAAGCCCUUUUGUUGGGAAAGAAAAGCAGCAGGUUAAUACCCCGCUGUUCUGACGGUACCCAAAGAAUAAGCACCGGCUAACUUCGUGC
rnacentral:rRNA from 1 species